UUUCCGUAGGUGAACCUGCGGAAGGAUCAUUCAUAAUAAGUGUUUUAUGGCACUUUUUUAAAUCCAUAUCCACCUUGUGUGCAAUGUCAGGGUUGAUUUUUCUCUCGAGAGGAUCGGCCCCAAACGUCAACUAUAUCUCAACUCUUUGUCUGAAAAAUAUUAUGAAUAAAACAAUUCAAAAUACAACUUUCAACAACGGAUCUCUUGGCUCUC
rnacentral:misc_RNA from 1 species